rnacentral:rRNA from 1 species
CCUAGGGGAGGCAGCAGUGAGGAAUAUUGGUCAAUGGGCGAGAGCCUGAACCAGCCAAGUCGCGUGAGGGAAGACGGUCCUAUGGAUUGUAAACCUCUUUUGCCGGGGAGCAAAAAGCGGUACGUGUACCGCAUCGAGAGUCCCCGGAGAAAAAGCAUCGGCUAACUCCGUGCCAGCAGCCGAGGUAAUACGGCGGAUCCGAGCGUUCACCGGAUUUAUUGGGGUAAAAGGGUGGGCAGGCGGCGCGUUAAGUCAGCGGUAAAAUUUCGGGGCUCAACCCCGACGAGCCGUUGAAACUGGCUGGCUAGAGUGGGCGUGAAGGAUGCGGAAUGCGUGGUGUAGCGGUGAAAUGCAUAGAUAUCACGCAGAACUCCGAUUGCGAAGGCAGCAUACCGGUGCCCAACUGACGCUCAGGCACGAAAGCGUGGGUAUCGAACAGGAUUAGAUACCCUAGUAGUC